rnacentral:lncRNA from 8 species
CUUGACUGUCGGAAUGUGCCUCGUGGGAACAGGCCCGAGUUUGCCCCCUCCUUUCAUGGUGCACAAUUUGGUGUCAACUCUAAUUAUCAUAAAUCCCAGCCUGCUUCAAAUGAAGGGACGAGAGGUGCUGGGAGCUAGUCUCUCUCACAUUCAAGGCAGGGGAAGAAUUAAGAGCUCCCUCGGUGAAGAAGCCCACUUGGAUGACUUUCAGACAUAACAACAGCGCAUGGUACCGCACGCACGGCAAGCGGGGCCGGAGCGCCAAAUCUGGGACCAAAAGGCUCCUAAACAGCUUCUACCACCGAGCCAUAAGACAGCUGAACAGUUAGUCAAAUGGCUACCCGGACUACUUGUAUUGACCCCCCCCCCCCCCCCCCCUGUAAUUUUUACCACGCCCCAAAUAUUCUAAUGAGGCGCCGACCCUAGAUUUUAAUUAUC